CAUAGUGGCUUUGCUUUUUCAAACUGCACAUUUCUCUCAGCUCAGUGUGCCAGUAGUUCCUCCUGUGCACAGCUGUACUGAAACCGAACAGCGCUGGCACAAACCUCGGACAAUUGGUGUAAAGCCAGGACCAAUCAACAACAUGAUCACCUGUGCCAAAUCAAAAGUCUCAAGGCGUAGUUAGGAGUGGACUCUACAGGGGCAUGGUGGGCCCUUUACCGGAUCCAUGCAUGUUUAGAGUGGCAGAGGCUUAUGAAAAAUUCAGCCUUGAAGACAAGCCGCUGGUGACCACCAUGGGCAUGGAACUCAACAAGCCAGCUGUGCAGUGUGCAUUUGGUAUGGUGCAGGAGGGCAGUGUUCUGUCAUAUCAGCAGCCUGUUUUACCAUCACGACACAUCACGCUGCAUCCUGAUGUUCCAUCAACCCCACUUCUGCCUCUGAAAGACCACCACCUUGAUGCACCCACCUGUGCUUUUGUGUGCACUGAACAGGAGCUUUUUGAUAUGGCUCACAAAAUUGAGGUGUCAACUCGGGAGCAGAGUUCUUGGGCUGAGUGGCAUCUGCUCCGCAAGCCUAGAGUAACAAAUAAUUAAUAAAUAAUAAUAAUAAAUAAUAAAAAAUAAUAAAUAUUGGAAACAGAAUUUGUUUAGACUUAAUGUUUUAAUGUACAAAGAGUAUACAAAAUAUUUACAGAACCUGGUGUGUCUAAAAUAUGCUCUUUUACAGUUUAAUAAAUACAUAAUUUGUGGACAGAAAUGAGAAAAUGUAAAUAUUGAAUAUUCUGUAUACUUAUUAAAUUAUAGGGCGGCACGGUGGGUAGCAGUGUCGCCUCACAGCAAGAAGGUCCUGGGUUCGAUCCCCAGGUGGGGCGGUCCGGGUCCUUUCUGUGUGGAGUUUGCAUGUUCUCCCCGUGUCUGUGUGGGUUUCCUCCGGGUGCUCCGGUUUCCUCCCACAGUCCAAAGACGUGCAAGUGAGGUGAACUGGAGAUAUAAAAUUGUCUGUAACUUUUCAAUAUAACUUGUGAACUUGUGAAGUGUAAAACAUGAUAUUAAAAUCCUAAUAAACAAACAAAAUUAAAUCA